rnacentral:lncRNA from 1 species
CGAUUUUAAGCUCGUGUGGGUCAGCAUUUAGUUCCGUCAAAAAUCUAGAGUUAAGAAUCAGUCCGAAGAACAUCGAUGAAAACGAAAACCGGAUGAAGGGAAUACUCCAGAAAAGAAUACUUGUACACAGUCCUCUGCGCAACAAAUAAUGUGUAAGCAUAAAAGCAUCCAAUUCCAUAUUUCGUAAAUCUAGCAGUGCCUCCAGUCUUGUUUUAACUCUUAAGAAGAACCUGAACAUUUCAUCACUGCUAUACAAAGAUAUGAAAAGAUUAAACAAAAUUAUCCGACAUGGAACGUAAGUUACAAAAAGUAUUGGAGAAUGGAUUGAGAGUCUGAAUAUUAUACUCAAGUAUAAAUGGAUAAAUUUCUUUCAGCUUUUUAAAUUGAACAAAAAUAAAAUAUAUACCUUCGAAGCAAUAAAAAAACUUACAUCAGAAAUGGCUCGAUUUCAUUCCGUUUGGCCAAGAAUUCGCAGAUAGUAACACGAUUUAUCAAGUUUUCUUCCGCCAGCUAGUGUGGUACCAAACAUCAAGUUUCUUUUUCAACCCAGCUUUAUGCAAAUGAUUUUUAACUGUUGUGUGGUCGAUCUUCAGUUCCUGGGCGAUGCUACGGCAGCUCUCAUGCCGGUCUACUUCAACCAUUUCAAAGAUUUUAUCGACAUUUUCGACGAUAGGUCUUCCAGUGCGUGGUGCAUCUUUCACAUCAAAAUUACCGGAACGGAAUUCAUAAAAUUAAAAUUGCGCUUGACUGACUGUCCCAGUAUGGGGACUAUGAACACAAUUUCAGCUGCCUGCCUUUCUUUUUCACCU